rnacentral:rRNA from 1 species
UACAGAGACUGCAAGCGUUAUUCGGAUUCACUGGGCGUAAAGGGUGCGCAGGCGGCCAAGUGUGUGAGGCGUGAAAGCCCGAAGCUUAACUUCGGAAUUGCACCUCAAACUACAUGGCUAGAGCAUUGGAGAGGGUAGCGGAAUUCACGGUGUAGCAGUGAAAUGCGUAGAUAUCGUGAGGAACACCAGAGGCGAAGGCGGCUACCUGGACAAUUGCUGACGCUCAGGCACGAAAGCGUGGGGAGCAAAAGGG